rnacentral:rRNA from 1 species
AGUGAACGCUGGCGGUAGGCCUAACACAUGCAAGUCGAACGGCCGCACAGUAAGAGCUUGCUCUUACGGGUGGCGAGUGGCGGACGGGUGAGGAAUACAUCGGAAUCUACUUUUUCGUGGGGGAUAACGUAGGGAAACUUACGCUAAUACCGCAUACGACCUACGGGUGAAAGCAGGGGAUCUUCGGACCUUGCGCGAUCGAAUGAGCCGAUGUCGGAUUAGCUAGUUGGCGGGGUAAAGGCCCACCAAGGCGACGAACCGUAGCUGGUCUGAGAGGAUGAUCAGCCACACUGGAACUGAGACACGGUCCAGACUCCUACGGGAGGCAGCAGCGGGGAAUAUUGGACAAUGGGCGCAAGCCUGAUCCAGCCAUACCGCGUGGGUGAAGAAGGCCUUCGGGUUGUAAAGCCCUUUUGUUGGGAAAGAAAAGCAGCAGGUUAAUACCCCGCUGUUCUGACGGUACCCAAAGAAUAAGCACCGGCUAACUUCGU